UACGGGGGGUGCGAGCGUUAUUCGGAAUUACUGGGCGUAAAGCGCGUGCGGGCGGGCCUGCAAGUCUGAUGUGAAAGCCCCGGGCUUAACCUGGGAAGUGCAUUGGAAACUGCAGGUCUUGAGUGCUGGAGAGGAAGGGGGAAUUCCCGGUGUAGAGGUGAAGUUCGUAGAGAUCGGGAGGAAUACCAGUGGCGAAGGCGCCCUUCUGGACGGCAACUGACGCUGAGACGCGAAAGCGUGGGGAG
rnacentral:rRNA from 1 species